rnacentral:rRNA from 1 species
AUUGAACGCUGGCGGCAGGCUUAACACAUGCAAGUCGAGCGGGGAAAUAUAGCUUGCUAUAUGACCUAGCGGCGGACGGGUGAGUAAUGCUUAGGAAUCUGCCUAUCAGUGGGGGACAACAUUUCGAAAGGGAUGCUAAUACCGCAUACGCCCUACGGGGGAAAGCAGGGGAUCUUCGGACCUUGCGCUAAUAGAUGAGCCUAAGUCGGAUUAGCUAGUUGGUGGGGUAAGGGCCUACCAAGGCGACGAUCUGUAGCGGGUCUGAGAGGAUGGUCCGCCACACUGGGACUGAGACACGGCCCAGACUCCUACGGGAGGCAGCAGUGGGGAAUAUUGGACAAUGGGGGGAACCCUGAUCCAGCCAUGCCGCGUGUGUGAAGAAGGCCUUUUGGUUGUAAAGCACUUUAAGCGAGGAGGAGGCUCCUGUAGAUAAUACCUACAGUGAGUGGACGUUACUCGCAGAAUAAGCACCGGCUAACUCUGUGCCAGCAGCCGCCGUAA